GCGCCCCCCGGUCUCCCGGCCCGAGCGCGGCGGCCCCCCGGCCCGAGCCCCGCUUCCCGCCGCCGGAGCUCGCGGCGGCCCGGCCCCCCGCGGCAGCGAGGGCAACUGCAGCCGAGCCCGGCACGCCGCCGGCGGCCCGCGUCGGGCCCUGCCUGUUCUGCUUUCGGUUUCGAGGACCUCCACUCCAUUCCCCACCACCCAGGACCACAGAGCCAAGGUUUCUGUGUUCUGGAGCAUCAUGGAACCCGGGGACUGAGCCACCAUCUGGCAGCCACGCCCUUGUUGAUAAAGUGCGGCCGCUGUCUUUCACCAAGAACUUCCAUCAUCCUGGAGACUGCACUUGUUCAACUCACUGUGCGGGACCUCACCAACUGGCUCCUCACCCCGGGGUCACACGGUAGGAAACCCAUUGCCCUGCUACCUCCUGGAGCUCCGUGGGUCUGGGAACAUUGCCAUGACCGGUGGAGGCUGCUCCUCAGCCUGCUGCCCUGGUUUUCAGAGUUGCGACCAAGAACAUUACUGCUCCUGAGAGCUUCUCUGGAUAAUAACCAACGAAUUGCCCCCUACCCACUUUGUCACCUAACAUUGUGAGGCAUCAGUGGCCUGCGUCUGUGUCCCGGCCUCAGCUGUGUCCUUCCUACUGAGCGUGAGGCCAGCUUCUCCGGAGAACACACACAAGAUCAUAGAGCAGGUUCCUAAGGCCUCACCGUGCUCUGCCAAGAGAAGAAGAGGAACUUGCCCUCUGCCGGGGUCUAGAGAUCAAGUGGUGAUGACACAGAAGACCACCCACCACUCACGAUCUCCAUCUUAUUACACCAAAUUGUUAGAGGCCUCAGAUUUCAUCAAACUGGGCUUUCGAGGUCCUUAAAAUGGUAAUAAUAAAAGAAUGUAUUGAGUACACGCUAUGUGACAGUCAUUGCUCUAACCUCUUUACGUGUGUUAUCGAAUUUAACUUUUUUAACAACCUUGUAAAGCAAGUGCUCGUAUCUCCAUUCUGAAGUUUAGAAGCCCUGUUGAAACUCGCUCCAAAACAUGAAGAGGCCUCCUCAGUGUGCUGCCCACACCUUGAGGGCAUUGCAGAACUUUUCCACCAAUGCAGCCAUCAGAUUCUUCAUGAUCUUCUGGAAAUGGUGAUAUACUAUUUGAAGCAUAUUUGUAUUGAACCCCAGACUUAGCCUCCAGCAAGGCCCUAGUAUAAGACAGUUCUGAACAACACAGCCACAUCACAGGGCACCCCCUGGUAGUGCCUCUUCUGAAGCCCCAAGAUUGUAUCAAAUGUCUCUGGCCAUUCCUUGAGGAUGGGCCUGGAACACAAGUUAGUCUAAUCAGAGUUACAGGUAACUCUGAGCUGUUGGAGAAGAGAAGAUGUCAGUGGGCCGUGUGGCAGAUUGUAUUCUUCCAAAGAGGACCACAAUAGUAUCUCUCAUCUCACACGUGACUUUGUCUUCCUCCACUGGGAUUUUGACACCUGUACCAUCAAUAGGUGGGGGUCUGUGUUCUCCCUCGUUGAAUCUGGGAAGGCUCGUGUCUCCAGCAGAGUGAUGCUAUGUGACUUCUGAGGCUAGGUCACACAAGGUGCUAUGCUUCGCCUCGUUCUCUUGGGAUGCUUGCUCUGGGAACCCAGCCACCAUACUGUGAGGAAGCCCAAGUAGCUACAUGUAGUUGUUGCAGCUGACAGCCCCAACCAACAGUCAGUAUUAACUGCCACAAAUAAAAGUGAAUGGGCCUUCAGUUGAUUCCAGCCCCUACCAGGCAGGUGACCCCCCAGCCAUUGAAUCUUUCCAGCUAAGCACCCAGAUAUCAUGGAGCUGGGACAAGCUGUCCCCACUGGAUCCUUUUCCAAUUCCUGACUCACAGAAUCUACAGGAGGAAUAAAAAUGUUAUUUUGUGCCACUGCUUUUUUUUUUUUUUUAAAGAAGCAAUAGGUAAUGACAAUUCUGAGUUUGAUAAACUGGGAUACUGUCAUAGAGCCCUAGGAGCACUGCAUAGAGACAGGCUGUCUGAGAAGAAAGGCAACACAGGGGAAAGCAGAGUCCCGAGAUGAAGAGAACAGGGUCUGAUUCCAUCACUGGAGUCCUUUCCUCCCUCCUUACCGGAAGCUGGAUUCUGGGCCAUGCUGCUUUUUUCCAGAUCGACAUCUUGCGUGGGACAGUCUGGGUGGAAGCACACACGUUCCAUCCCUAGGUCCUAGCUGCAAGGGAGGCUAGGCAGCAAAGUUCUGGCUUCCACCUUAGGAAGCAGGCUUCAAAACGGAGGAGAUUCUUCAGACAUACGAAGGGUGUUCAAAAGAUGUUGGCAACCACAAGGCAUGUCAAAUAUCCACUUGGGUGUUGGAAUAAAAUGUGGAAAGCACUGUGCAAUGACAUUUGUUAUAACUGACAAUAUUAGAGAGCAAAUGACAAUAUUAAGACAGAUUUUGUAACAUUGAAAUGGCUUCAUGGUCUGGAAAUUGCAGUUGGCAUACUUCUUAUGGGGAAACGCUUCACUCUUUUUAAAUUAUUUUUCCACUGUGUGUGUGUUGAUUUAAGCCAUGUUAUUCUUUGUGCAUUCUGUAGUGGUUUUAAAAACCAUGUGCAUAAAUGCUUUGAUACUCCUCCCUUCAAGAGAUGGAGCCUAAUUCCAUUCCCUUUCAGUGUGGGCUGGGUCUAGUGACUCAUUUCCAAGGCUUAGAAUAAAACAGAAGAGACAGCAUGCAGCCGGAGUGACUAGGUCAUCAAAAGGCAGUGCUGUUGUCAUCUUCCUUCUCUCUCUUGGAUCAUUCCCUCUGGAGGAAACCAGCUGUCAUGUCACGAGCAGCCCUUUGACAGUGGCCAGCAGGAACUGAAGUUCCACAGGAGUGACCUAGGAAACAGAUCCUCAGCCCAGUCAAGCCCUCAGAUGACUGUAGCUCUGGCCAACAUAUUGACUACAACCUCAUGAAAAACCCUGAACCAGAACCACCAGCUGAGCCCCGAUCUUCUGACCCUCAGAAACCAUUAGACAGAGCCUCAGGAAGUGGACGCUUGUGCUGUUCUUCCCUCUUUCUUCCUGCCUUCCCUGAGACGGCGUGAAGAUGAAAUUCUUGAAGCUGUGUUAGCCAACCUGUGACCACGAGGGGACAAGCCUAUGGAUGAGACGCUAACACCCAAAGAUGUCUGAAGGGUAAGUUAGAAAACGACUUUGCUAUUCAAGUGAGCCACAGCCAACCAGAAGCCACCUGCCUCCAAUCUGCGGUUCUACAAGGUAAUUAACAUGUCUUUAAAGAUAAGCCCGUGGUUCUCAAAACAUCAGGAUCACCUGCGAACUUGUUGGAAAUGCAUAUUCUCCAUCCCCACCCCAACUUCUUGAAUCCUCAUCUCAGAGUUGGGUG